GGAGGGCCUGUGGCUCGGUGGUAGAGCUCCUGCUUGGGAUGCAGAAGGCCCAGGUUCAAUCCCUGGCAUCUCCA